UACGUAGGGGGCAAGCGUUGUCCGGAAUCAUUGGGCGUAAAGAGCUCGUAGGCGGCUUGUCACGUCGGUUGUGAAAGCCCGGGGCUUAACCCCGGGUCUGCAGUCGAUACGGGCUAGCUAGAGUGUGGUAGGGGAGAUCGGAAUUCCUGGUGUAGCGGUGAAAUGCGCAGAUAUCAGGAGGAACACCGGUGGCGAAGGCGGAUCUCUGGGCCAUUACUGACGCUGAGGAGCGAAAGCGUGGGGAGCAAACAGG
rnacentral:rRNA from 1 species